rnacentral:rRNA from 1 species
CGGACGGGUGAGUAACGCGUGGGUAACCUGCCCUGUACAGGGGGAUAACAGCUGGAAACGGCUGCUAAUACCGCAUAAGCGCACGAGGAGACAUCUCCUUGUGUGAAAAACUCCGGUGGUACAGGAUGGGCCCGCGUCUGAUUAGCUGGUUGGCAGGGUAACGGCCUACCAAGGCAACGAUCGGUAGCCGAACUGAGAGGUUGAUCGGCCGCAUUGGGACUGAGACACGGCCCAGACUCCUACGGGAGGCAGCAUG